rnacentral:rRNA from 1 species
UACGUAGGGUCCGAGCGUUGUCCGGAAUUAUUGGGCGUAAAGGGCUCGUAGGCGGUCUGUUGCGUCAGGAGUGAAAACUCGGGGCUUAACCCCGAGCCUGCUUCUGAUACGGGCAGACUAGAGGUAUGCAGGGGAGAACGGAAUUCCCGGUGUAGAGGUGAAAUUCGUAGAUAUCGGGAGGAACACCGGUGGCGAAGGCGGCGACCUGGGUAGAUACUGACGCUGAGGUGCGAAAGCGUGGGGAGCAAACAGG